rnacentral:sRNA from 12 species
CCUUUGGAGUGUUACACCAAACUAGAGUAGUCUUAGGACAAAAUAGAACACUAUGAGGAAGGAA